rnacentral:rRNA from 1 species
UACGUAGGGGCCUAGCGUUGUCCGGAAUUAUUGGGCGUAAAGAGCUCGUAGGCGGUUCGGCAAGUCGGAUGUGAAAUCUCCACGCUUAACGUGGAGGGGCCAUUCGAAACUGCUGUGACUCGAGUCCGGUAGGGGAGUGUGGAAUUCCCGGUGUAGCGGUGAAAUGCGCAGAUAUCGGGAGGAACACCAGGUAGCGAAGGCGGCACUCUGGGCCGGUACUGACGCUGAGGAGCGAAAGCCGUGGGGAGCGAACAGGA